UUUUGGACGGACCUGCUUUAGAGCGGGCCCAGCAGCUCUUAGUUUAAAUUUUUUGUCUGGUUUGACUGAGAAUCUUUCACCGGACCAGCUGUAACACGAUUAAUGUGAUAUUACGAAUCGGAAUUACGUUUUCUUUUCGGUUUAAACUGGUUAAUUAUUCUCGGUAACAUCAUUUUUUUAAUCCUUUGGGCCCAAACGAUUCUUACAUAGUAUAUAGUUGGGCUAAUUUGUUAGACGUAAACUUUAUACUAUUACUGUAUUCCUGCAGCGUCCGGAUGUUUUAUUCUCUAGUGAUUCAAUUGAUAGUGUUUAGUGACAGGAGUACAAGUGUUUUUCAUUGAACGAUUCAAUAAAAAUAGAAUAAAUAGCUGAUAGUUGCACAAAAUUAAAUAUAGUUGAGCUUAAAACAUAAAGUAAACAGGAAAAACGUGUAAAUGCAUGUGUUUGCUAUGCUGAUUGUUUGUCAUUAGGCUAUUCAUGUAUGUUAUUUGUUAUUUGUUUUUUUUUUGUUUUUUGAAAAGUAUGUGACGUGUUUGUUAUUGGUGCCUUUGGAAUUGAUUCAUAAUAGUGUGGUAGAAUUGUUCUUUUGGAGUCGUAUAAAUUUUCCUUGAUAGAUAUUUGUUUGUUUUUUGGUUAAACUAUUGAGUUUUUAAUGUAUUGUAUAAACGUUGAUUUUAUGUAGUAUAUAUGUUUGAGAAAAGAAAGUUAGACAAAAAGUAAUUGUAAAAGAGUAAUAAUAUUUUUAUAUUUGUGGCCAACAUAAAUAUACAAAUAAUUGUUAUUGUUGAAGUACAUAAAAGUAUUUGGGAUAUAAUGUUCAAAUGUUAAGCAAUAAAAAGUGAUUCACCGCGUAUCAAUUGAAGUAGAUGAAUUUGAUCAUUUGCUUAUAGAAAUAACAGUUUUUGUAUCUCUUGUUGAUGUUGUUUGGAUGACAUUAUAUUAUAACAUUAGUUGCUCGUAAAGUGAUAAAGUAGCACUUAAAUUUUUUAAUUAAUAUUUCAUGCAAUAUUUUCUUAAUGCGAUGGACUCUAGCAUAGAUCGCCAAGCUUAUAGUCUUGCGUCCAACCAAUUUUAUCAAUGUAGGUUUCUCUUAUAUUUUUUCACCUUUGCGAAGCAUUGUUAUACUGUAUACAUAAACUGUACCUAGAGACAACCGUCUACUGAUGUUUGUAGGUGAUGGAAGCCAUUGUCAGAGUUGUUUUUUUAUCAAAAUAUUCUUGAAUGCUUUUUACAUGAAGAAUUUAUAAGUUUCUAGCUGAUAAACAUUUUGUCAUAAAAUCGUUAGAAAAGUAAGUGGAUGGAUGGUCAAUAGUUUGAUGGUCAUUUCUUAGUUUUUAUUCUUAUGAAUUUUAUAUUUUUAUUCUUAAAAUUUAUAUGCUUUGAGUUAUAUUUUAUUUUUACAGUUUAUUAUUUUAUAUUGUAUAUUUGAAUAUAUAUUCAUCUUUAAAUACAAUUAUCCAUCUUAUAACUUAUUAAAUUCUUUAAUUUGGUUUUGCUAACCAAAUAACUUUUUUCGUGUGAUUCAAUUAUUAUUUUUAUUGAUCUGGAAUUUAUAAAACACGUAAAGCAAUCUUAUAAUGAAUUUCUCUUCUUUUGGUUUUAAUUCAUUUUUCUGUUUAUUAUAUUAUGUAUUUUGUCCAAAUUAUUAGUUGUCACAGUUCAAGUUAUAGAUUGUCACAAAAUUAUCAUUUUUAUUUGUUGUAGUUCGUUUAUUUUAUUUUCCAAAAAAAAAAAUGUUCUGAUUAUGUAAUAAUAUUUGAUUAUUGUUUUUUUUUCUAAGCUUUGGCUGGGAUUCACUCUUUGUAUGGAUUUGAUAAAACCUGAAAGACAAUAUUUUAAAUAUUUUUUAUGUCAACAUUUUUCUUGUUGAAAUUAAUUUGUUUAAAAUUUAUUAUGUAUUUUUACUGAAUUACUGUACGUUAGCAGCAAAUUGAAAAACCAGUACAAUAUCAAACAAUAAAUAAAAGGGGAAUAAGAGUAUGUCCACGUCAGCUUGGAAAAUCGUCCAAUAGAGAGGUUGUUUUUUGCCACGUCACACACGGAUUUAUUUGGGUAUUGUUGGGCUUCUCUCUUUUUUGACCCGUUUUGUUUGAUUUGUCUGGCCCAUUAAGUCCAAUCAAAAGGAAACUCUAAAAAGCUGAGACGCUGAACGAUGAUGAAUCCCUCCCCUUUCGUGUUGUUCUUCGUCGUUUCCACUUCUCCAACUGGCGUCUCAUCUUCUUCUCUAUUGCUCCACUGUAACGUCAGCCACCAAUCCAUCUCUCUCAUUAAACCCCCUUCUGCACUCCUUCAAUCGUAAGCCAUCGAAGCAUUCUGGCUCCCUUCGUUUGUCACCCACUCUCCCUAAACUAACUAUAUAAACAUAUGGUGAUAUUCAAGAUCGAAAAUACUCCACAUCGUCAUCUCCAGAAGAAGUGUUAAUUUUCCUUCCAGAGGCUGAUAAACUCCAAAUUGAGGAGACAAUUAUAUAAAGGUGUGCAUCUUCAGUUCUAUUUGACCUUCGGUUCUAUUUGCUUCUUAAUUCAGAAAAUUUUGAUGACGAGGAUGACGAGGAUGAAGAAGAUCAACAAAAGAAGAGCAGAAAGUUGGUACUAUGUGGUUAAAGGGUUUACUCUACAAAGACCAAAAACAGAGUGAUGAUGCGUUGGAUCACGACAUGACUUAUAUAGUAUUCAGAGGAGAAGAUUUCAAUUGAUAUCCACCCAUGGAUGUCUCACUGUCUGCUUAUCACUUUGCCCUUCACGUGAACUUUGUUAUUCCAAAAUAGAGCUCUUUAUGUUUUUCUGUUUCUUUUACAUUAUGCAAGUGUCUCUCAUACAUCAGUCACAAUACCUGGAAGUGAUUCAGCCAUUGGAUUUAUAUUGAGUCUAUACGGAAUUCAUUUAUGGUGCAUCAAUACAAAAGUUUGGUUUUUAUGUAACACUGGAAUCUCCGAUCCGAUCGGGACUAGCUUAUAGAUUAUUGUAGUCGGCAUCGGCUCUAUACGCUCCCAUUGUUUUUUUUUGUGAAACAGAGAAAGUAAAUAAAAAUUGAAAAUCGUUGAGCGA